AUGGUCAACAUCAAGACUUGAAGUGAGUCUUAUGUGCUAUACAGAUAGUUGAAGGUUAAUUAGCAGUAUAACUAUAAAUAGUAAUGCUGCCAGUCUCCUUCAGACAAGA
rnacentral:snoRNA from 1 species